UACGAAGGGGGCUAGCGUUGCUCGGAAUCACUGGGCGUAAAGCGCACGUAGGCGGAUUGUUAAGUCAGGGGUGAAAUCCUGGAGCUCAACUCCAGAACUGCCUUUGAUACUGGACGAUCUUGAGUUCGGGAGAGGUGAGUGGAACUGCGAGUGUAGAGGUGAAAUUCGUAGAUAUUGGCAAGAACACCAGUGGCGAAGGCGGCUCACUG
rnacentral:rRNA from 1 species